rnacentral:lncRNA from 1 species
AAUACGAGGGUUUCCAUGAUGAAGAUUUGUCCCCGGUCUAUCUUGAAGCUAAGUGCAAGUCUCCUCCAAAAGAAACACAACUUGAGGCUACUAUUGCCCCUCCACACUGUAACGACCGACCCCUAAGCCUUCCCAGUUAGGCUUGAUCUCAGCCCUUAACCUUAGUCAGCUGUUUUGUUUGACCGCACCUAAGCGCCCAGUUUUCCGCCGAUCCCGACCCCUGAGAUCCGACCCCUACCUGCUUCGCUCCUCUCCCGACCCCGGCGAGCUCAGUCCGCCCUCGGAUCCUGCUGAUCUUCCUCACCCGUCCGAUCUACCCACCGGUGGACCCGCGAGAUCUUUCUCCAGAUCCCCCGCGCCAGCCGCACUCGAGUUGCAUGGCCGCCUCAGAGUCUUCCUGCCGCAUGGCCCGUCUUCUCCGACGCCAUCGCCCAGUUUUG